AUGGAUGUGCCAGCUUGCUUUCUUUGGAGGGUCCUAGGGGGAGAAUUAUGCAUCCCCUUGAUGUCAUCAACAUGUGAUUUAGACAACAAACUGGCAGUAAAAAUCAUUUCAUUUACAUUUUUUAUUGCUUUCAAUGUCAUUAGUUUUAUUUCUUUUACUUUGGGAUGUCAAAGAAGGAAUUGCGUCUCUCUCAGUUCAACUCUCAAAUGCAACAAAGCCACCUAUGGUAUCAUAAUAAACUGAAAUGUUUUUAUUAUCUUUUUCCACAAGGGAGGCAGUCUAAUAAUGAACACUGGCCUCCAUGCUUACCUACCUUGGGAUCUUUCUGAGCAUCAGUGUCUCGUCUACAGAGUGAAAUAAAACCACCAGGGCAAUGAAGGAAAUAAGGAGAAAAGCCACAGAACAGAGGUGUUUGGUUCAUGAGAGUCUACUUGAAUCAGAAUAUUAUUUGGGAAGAGGAGCAAAACCCAUUUUCUCUUCCCACGUUGGAUGACGUGAGCCCUGCAGUUUUAUGAACAAAGGCUUUAAAGACCAAAUUGACAUGCUUUUCCUGCCAAGAGCCAGGGAGUAAAUGUUUUCGACUUUUUGGGCCAUAGGGUCUUGGGGGCAACCACUCAGCUCUUUUUGUGGUAGUAGCAGAAAGCAGUCAUAGGUUAAGUCUGUAAAUGGACAGACCUUCUGUAUUCUGUGCGUCUGCUCACUCGCUCAGUUGUGUCCCACUCUUUUUGCGAUCCCAUGAACUGUAGCCCGCCAGGCUCCUCUGUCCAUGGAACAUCUGAUUUUCCUGGCCAUAAUACUAGAGUGGGUUGCCAUUUCCUCCUUCAGAGGAUCUUCCCAACCCAGGGAUCAAACCCACAUCCCUUGAGUCUCCUGCACUGGUGGGCGGAUUCUUUACCGCUGAUUGCGUUGAAAGCAAUAAAAUUACAUUGAAAGCAAUAAAAUUACAUUGAAAGCAAUAAAAAAUGUAAAUGAAAUGAUUGUUACUGCCAGUUUGUUGUUUAAAUCACAUGCUGAUGACAUCAAGGGGAUGCAUAAUUCUCCCCCUAGGACCCUCCAAAGAA
rnacentral:lncRNA from 1 species